CCACAAAUUUCAAAUCGCCCGCGUUCGGUCAAACCAGCCAAUAACAUUUCGUUAGCUUGACAUCAUGCGACAUGCGUCAGAAAGACGCUUGUGUUAGAGCGUCGUUUUGUUUUUGCGCGUUGUAGAAGCAGUGUUUUGUGUAUUUAGUGCCAAAACGACCAAAAUCGAAAGUUCUAGAAGUGCUGGAAGCCGCUUUUGAAAAGGACGUGAUGAGCGUUAAGUGCCGUCACCGGAGUGGAACCCGCACCUCCUGAUGGAGCCUCAGGUGACUGGAGAAACAAACUAAUCGGAGCAAAUCCUGGUUCAAUUUAAUCACUUAAUUAUAUUUAAAAUAAAUAUUCAGCGUUCAUCUAUAUUUUGAAAAUCAAUAUCGUACUUUUUUAGACUAGUAAAUACAAUGCCACAUAAGUUAUACGAGACAAUAUAAGAAAUGUAUUAUUCAUAAAACACAAUAAACUGAAAUAACAAAUAAGAAACAAGGUUAGCG